rnacentral:snoRNA from 1 species
AAGUCAGAGACAAUUUGAGCUUGCUAUAGCAAGAAAGUCUAACCUACUGUGGUAUUCUCCUCCCCAUGAGACAACCCAUUAUAUAGGCUCAAACAAU